rnacentral:rRNA from 1 species
UACGUAGGUGGCAAGCGUUGUCCGGAAUUACUGGGCGUAAAGGGCUCGUAGGCGGCCAACUAAGUCAGACGUGAAAUCCCUCGGCUUAACCGGGGAACUGCGUCUGAUACUGGAUGGCUUGAGAUUGGGAGAGGGAUGCGGAAUUCCAGGUGUAGCGGUGAAAUGCGUAGAUAUCUGGAGGAACACCGGUGGCGAAGGCGGCAUCCUGGACCAACACUGACGCUGAGGAGCGAAAGCCAGGGGAGCAAACGGG